UGUUGUGAUGUUUUGCGCCCCCACGGACUGUCAACAAGGAAGGACAUGCGAGAAGAGCACGUUGUCUUCAGCGCCUCGAAAGAUUUUAAAGUUUAUUCAUUGAUUUAUUUGUGCAAAACUUCAAGCAAGACUUUAUCAGAACCUCCUUUUGUUACAAGCAGCUAACAAGUGUGCCUUCAACUGGGAAGAAGUCGCUCCUGGCUGGUGUGUGCUAACCACUUUGAAGAGUCCUGCUUCACAAACCUGCGCCAGUAUAAAGAUGGAGUUUCCAAAAAGCUGCGUUUAAGUUCCUACUAUGUAUGGCAACGGAGGAGACAAUGAAACGCAGACUGUAUGCGGUAAAUUAUGACUUCAGUUCUGGAUGAUAUGGAAGUUGUUCCAUUGUCUCUACAGGGAGAGGAAGUGGCUUGAAGCAGACCACUAGCUCGAUCUAUUGGGAGUGAGUUACUCAAAGCCAUCUAAAAUACUACACUACCCACAAUGCACCUCUACAAGGACGACCAAAAGGAACAACAAAGCGUUCCAGCCUCAAUGACAGCUGAGCAGCUGGGGGAAACUUCAAUGCCGACUACACCCUCGAACGGACACGCAUAAGUUAACAAUCCCCACCUCCGCCUCUUCCUACAGUUGCUGUGUCCCCUUACAAGUCACAUUUCGUACAGCGCAGCCAGCCCAUAAUAGCGCUCCAUGGAGCAGGGAAUGUUUCACCUGAAGAACUCGCAUUGAACAAGAGUGAGUACACAGCUUUACUCUAACAACACAAUCUUGAUUGUAUUCCAGCCUGUACCUUCUCCCUGAGCCACCAGGGGGCCCUCAGUCCCACAGGUUGACUUCAGAAAGAGUUGGCCUCACCAUCCACCAUCAAGCUCACCCAUCGUGUUUUCUUCUUGUACUCCUCAUUCUUCUACCUCCUGGCCCACACAGGCCCACCUGGACUCCCAGUCU